rnacentral:rRNA from 1 species
AGAACGAACGCUGGCGGCAUGCCUAAUACAUGCAAGUCGAACGAACUCUUCGGAGUUAGUGGCGCACGGGUGCGUAACGCGUGGGAAUCUGCCCCUUGGUUCGGAAUAACAGUUGGAAACGACUGCUAAUACCGGAUGAUAUCGAAAGAUCAAAGAUUUAUCGCCCAGGGAUGAGCCCGCGUAGGAUUAGCUAGUUGGUGAGGUAAAGGCUCACCAAGGCGACGAUCCUUAGCUGGUCUGAGAGGAUGAUCAGCCACACUGGGACUGAGACACGGCCCAGACCUCCUACGGGAGCAGCAGUAGGGAAUAUUGGACAAUGGGGCGCAAAGCC